CGGUAAUGUGGUCCUCGCAAAUAAUGAAUUUGGCAAGAUGUCGGAAUAGCUGAGAGCACAAAUAUCAUAGAAUCCAGAAUUUAUAUUUUGUGUAUUUUAUUGAGUACAGCGGCUAUGCCUCAUCUAGUCAAUUGCAUUCAUUUGACAGCAGCAACCAAGGAC
rnacentral:pre_miRNA from 15 species